CCCCUACGGGAGGCAGCAGUGAGGAAUAUUGGUCAAUGGAUGAAAAUCUGAACCAGCCAAGUAGCGUGCAGGAUGACGGCCCUAUGGGUUGUAAACUGCUUUUAGUUGGGAAUAAAAAGAGGACGUGUCCUCUAUUGUAUGUACCUUCAGAAAAAGGACCGGCUAAUUCCGUGCCAGCAGCCGCGGUAAUGGGG
rnacentral:rRNA from 1 species